AAAAAAGAGGAAGGGAUGUGUUCAUUCUCUCCAUCACAGCACGCGGGCAUCUCUUACCUUACCUUUCUACAAGCAAGUAACACAUGCAAAUCUCCCCACAAAUCAGGAAGCAAAUAGACUCGUUCCCGUUCACUUGUCAUUGUAAUGGAGCAUCUGCUCACUUUUUUUUUUUUUUUUAUCCCUGUAAGUUCAUUCGCGCCCCCCUCCCCCCAACUCACUGCGUGCUCUGGCUCCCAAACCUUGCACCGCCACCUUUGUGGCUGCUACCUCGGCUUUUGCUUGUGGCUGCAUCACCAGGCGCCUGAGCAAAGAGCUCAUUAACAAACUGGUGCGGUAAAUUGUGCACCGCAAUCCCUCUGCUGCUCCUGCAGGCAGCUUUUAACUGGGUGCUCCAAUGCAGUCAGGCUCAGGCAGCCGCAGCCGCGGCGGCCGGGAGCUCUGCGACAGCCGCAGCCACAGCGGCGGCGGCGGCGGCGGCGGCCACCCGGGAGAAGCAGCCCGGAGCCAGAGCCGGGCUCGGCAGAGGCCAAGGUAAUCACCGGGACUCGCUGCUCGGGCCCCGGCACGGACCCGGGCUUUCCACCGCUGGAAGGGCAAGCGUGCUAAAGUUGGUCUGCAUCCAGGCAGAUCCACUUUGGGUGGCUGCAAAUGGGCUUUGGGAGGUGAAUCUACAAGGAGUUUUGUUUUUUGGGACCAAAUUCCCAGUUUGGAUCCAUUAAGAAACUAAUGAUUUGGAAGAAUUCCCAGAUACUCUUUCUUGGAUACCAUCUGUAAGUUCAAGAGUGAUGAUAGAGAUGAAUGAAACUUCCCUGCUACAGCCCUGUUUUUUGACUUUACUCUUUUAAAACAUUGUUUUGUGCCCUUCUUGCCUCUGUUUCCAUAACAUACAUUUAUUUUUACAUAAAUAACAUUUAUUUUCCCAUUGA